rnacentral:rRNA from 1 species
CAGUAGCGUAUAUUAAAGUUGUUGCAGUUAAAAUGCUCGUAGUUGAAGUUCGGAUGCAGCAGAGCUUGGAAACGCUGUUAUGGUGCUUCCGUUGCUUUUGCUUGUCCACAGUGCGUUGCAAGUACGUAUGUGCUUGUGCGUGCAUUUUACUUUGAGAAACAUAGGGUGUUCCACGCAUGUUACGGCAUGAAUAUUCCAGCAUGGAAUAAUCUGGUACGACUUCCAAUCUGCCAUUUUGGUUCGUAGGUUGGAAGUAAUGAUUAAUAGGGACUGUCGGGGGCAUUGGUAUUUGACUGUCAGAGGUGAAAUUCUUAGAUUCGUUGAGGACCAACCACUGCGAAAGCAUUUGUCAAGGAUGUCUCCAUUAA